rnacentral:lncRNA from 1 species
GCUCUGCCUCCGACCUACGGAGGGAUCACGCGGCAGUGGAGGGCAGAUAAAAAGCCCUUUGGACGAGGGUCGCCUCCGUCCUUGUUGUUCACUUGGGAGCAGUGGAGAGGAAAACGGUCCCCACGGGCGGACUUUGGCUUCUGGAGCCGCGGGGCUCAUCCGUCCGGGCCUCCCGGAGCCUCUGCUGGGUAUAGGGGGAGGGGCAGCGGGGGAGGGGACUGGGAGAAGGGAUCUGGGGACGGGGGGCUGGAAGCGCUAAGGAGACCUGCUGGGAGGAUUUGCGUCAGCAGGUCCAAGAGAGACUUGGGAGCGCUGAGUGCAGGAGGUGGAUCUCGGCCUAGUUUGCUUGCAGAAAUAGAACUGUAUUUCGAGGAAAUCAAUCAAUCUGCAGGAAACAAAAAUGGAAGUCGAGGUUUGGGAAGAGUUGUCACUUCCCCGACUCGAGUGGUGCGGGCCGGGGGCGGAGACUUGGGGCCGCGGAGAGGCCCUUUCUCCCACCUCAGCUCGUUCCCAGGACUUCCAGAAGGGAGAAGUACCCUCCUCACCCCUCUUCUUCCCCACACCCGUCCUCGCUCGCCCGCCGGCCCCUUUCCGCACCUCCUUCUCCCCUCAAGUGAGAAAAGCCUAGUUCCCGAGCCGGUGUACGCGGUUGCCUUACCCCUCCCCGCUCCCACGCGGGUGCCCCCUCCAGCCAUCGCUACUGCCACCACCUCGGUUCCACUCAAUCGAUUUUUGCUGCAUGUCAACACUUAUUCCCGAAAAUGGCCCGCUGAUGAUGUGACCCAGUGUACCAGGACUAAGGCUUGGGGUGGUUUCCUUAGAAUUCCAAGACUCCUUCUACCAAUGCCUCCUCUGACCAGAAGCAGCAAAGUCUUUCUGCCUCCAUCAACAGUUUGCAGCGGCACCGGACCCCCUGCACGCAGUCCUGGGCUGGAUCCUUUAUCCUUGUCCCUCUGGGGAGAUGAGACCAAGAGCCGCUUCCACUGUCCCAGAGAAGACAGUGGAGCAGAUACGGAAUGUGACUUGGAACCCCGGUUAGUGGCAAGCCGGUUCUUGGGCUCUUUCCUCCGUUCUACUACUGUCAACAGCCCCCUCAACUCUGCUUCCCUAGGCGGGUAUCUGGGUGAAGUUCCUGCACAUCGUUCUCGGUCCUCCCGGAUGAACUGUCAGGGCCUUCCCUAAUGUCACUUUACGAGGCCGCCUGCGCUGGGUUGAAGGAGAGUCUCCCCUGACUGACUCGUCCCGCUGCGUGCAGGCGCAGGAGGGGGGAGAGCAGAUGGGGACGACCCUGCAGGCCGUCCUGAGCGCCACAGACGGGGAUUUACCUGCCGAGUCCAAGGCGACAGACAACAGGUCACUUUGUUAGAGAAUAAGAUAAUAUCAAACAAAAGAAAGUAAAAUAAAACCCUUCUUAUGAGGGC